rnacentral:misc_RNA from 1 species
GGAGAGAAGAAUUAUACGUUACCGUUCCCCCACUUUUCCGAUGUCCGAUAUCCAUGGACGUAAUGAAGUCUCCGAUAAGUCUCUGCACCGGCGUCACUUACGAUCGGAAUUCCAUUCAAACUUGGCUUUCACAAGGUCAUAAUACUUGUCCCGCUACUAUGCAAAUCCUUCCGUCUACGGAUUUCACACCUAACCUCACUCUCCGGAGGCUUAUCAACGUCUGGAUACAGCAUCAGCCGGCGAGUUCACCGGGAUCUACAACGCCGUCUUCAUCCUCUGUUACAAAAACGGAAGUUGUUGAAAUUGUUGAAAAUCUCAACGGCGAGGUCGAUAGGUUGAGUUCCUUGGCGAAGAUUGGGGAAUUUGUUAAAUGUUCUGGUGAAAACAGGAGUUUUUUUGUGAAUUUGAGUGAUGCGAUUGCGAAUAUUGUUGGAGUUUUGGUGGAUUGUGAUGUGGUUGAGGUUUGUGAAGCGGUUGUUGCGGUUUUGGAUUUAGUUGUAUCGGAGAAUGGAGUUAAGGAGCAGUUGAACAAAGAGAUUUUGAAGAGCUAUCAGAAAUUUCUACCGAAGUUUCUUUUGGUUCUUCGUAAAGGAAAGUUGAGUUCGAGGAUUCAAACCGCUCGGAUUCUAGAAUUCAUCGCAUUAGACGCCGAUUCACAGCGAAAAAUGGUCGAGGAGCAAGGUUUACUCUACGAAUUGCACGUAUUCACUAGCACGGAGACGAACCGAUUCGCGAUCGAAGUCGGUUUAUCAACUCUAAUCGCGGUCUCAACCACCAGACUGGCGAAGAAAGAGCUAGUCCGGUUCGGAAUUAUACAAACUAUCGGAAAAAUCCUUAGCAAUUCGGAAACCGCUCGGGCGGUGGUAGAGAAGUCAUUGUAGCUGUUGGAAACAGUAGCGACGUGUGCAGAAGGCAGGACGGCGAUAGGUAAAGGCGAAGAGUGCUUGUCGGCGAUAGUUACAAGGCUGAUGAAGAGCUCGAAAGCAGCGACGGAGCACGGGGUGACAGUACUAUGGAGCGUGUGUUGUUUGUUUCGUCAUACGGCGGCGCGUGAGGUAGUGGGAAAGGCAAAUGGGCUAACAAAAGUGUUGCUGGUAAUGCAGAGUGAUUGCUCCGCGGCGGUACGGCAGAUGUGUGGGGAAUUAGUGAAAGCAUUGCGCGUGGUGAAUACUUUCUCAGUCCGGACGGAGGAAGUAAUAAAGAUAAAGAAUUAUUCAAAGUCGUGUUUGGCGAGUUAUGAUACCCAAACUACUCACAUUAUGCCCUACUGAAAAAUAUAAUAAAUACCCCUCUUAAUUGGUGCUGACUAACCAUCCAUACCAAAAGAAUCAAACACUAUUUUUCUUUUUUUUGUCUUUUAAUAAUUAUUAGUCCAUUUGUUUGUUUAUAGAAAUGGAAUUAGGUAAGAUUCAUGCUGUAAAUCCAAA